GUUUGAAAAAAAUAAAGACACAAAUGCCCUAGCCCUAGUUGUCUCACUGUUUCUUUUCUUCUCAAAACCUCGCCUCAUCCGACCUUUCCUCUCAUCGACUCACAACAACGACAUCGACUCCAUCUGUGUGUUCCCUCCCCGCCAUCACAGUCGUCGACGUCUUCUUCUCCGCCGACAGUUCCGACGCUGCGCCACGGCACUCCGUCUCCACCUGCGACAACAACGAUUUCUGCAGUUGCCGGCCGAUGAUGAUAAAUUAAGUUUCAGAGCAUUCAAAGCUCUCGUAAUUGCAAACUGUGGACUUUCUAGCAGCAUACCCAUGUGGCUAAAAGAUUCAACAUAAUUACAGUUAUAAGAUUUGUCGUGGAAUAAUUUGGUAGGUUCGAUUCCAUCUUAUUUAGGUGAUUUUGAUUCUCCUUUUUACUUGGAUCCAUCCAAUAACUCGUUGUCGUGAGUGAUACCAAAGAACCUCACGCACUUACCUUGCCUCAGUUUCCAGGAAAUAUCACUGGAAGAGGGUUCACCGGAUUUCUCGUUUUUCCGGCGAACCAACAUCAGUAACAGAGCAGUCGCGUUCAGUAUAAUCAUAUUAUGAGCUUCCCACCUCUUCUUGAUCUCAGUAAUAACCACCUCAUCGGCUCCAUCUGGCCCGAAUUUGGGAACUUGAAAAGCAAAGGUGCAAUUGCAGAUAUGGCAAUCGAAAUCAGAAUCGGGACAUUAUUCAUUCUUCUACUCAUGUUCUUGAUCGUCCUUCGCACACCAACCAGACAAGAAGUCGAUCCAGAAAAAGAUGAUGAAACCGAUAGCAACAAAGAAGAACAUGAAUCAAAACUAGUAGUUCUUUUCCAUAAAUCAAACGAAAACAACACAGAUCCUUCCCUCAACGAUCUUUUGAAAUCAUCCAACAGUCUCAAGAAUGGAUUGGAAUCCGUACGUGUGAGGCACAUGAGGGGUAAAUGUCAAUUAAGCCAAAAAAACGUUUAUGCAAAAAUGGUCCCUUACAUAUGAAAUGAUGAAUUUACCCUCACGUGUGAGGCACAUGAGGGGGCUUAACAGAUCCUACUUCGGGAGUUAAGUCCAAGGACCAAAACCACAUACAAACCACUCUAAAAGGACCAUGGAUCCAAAAAACUCGUGGUUUGGACUAAAACCCCAAAAUUGUGCAUACCACAGGGACCAUUUUUGCAAUUUUGUCUUUUUUUUUGCUAUGAAAUUUGAUUCUAUGAAAUCCGAUGUUAAAUGAAAUAUGUUGUCAAAUGUUGCUGAAUUGUGUAUUUUUUUUUUGUUGAAAUUGUUGCUGAAUUGUGCAUCUUUUUGUUGAAAUUGUUGUUGAAUUAUGUAUUUUUUUUUUUGUUGAAAUUGUUGCUAAAAAUGUGUAUUUGUAUUGCUUAAAUUGAAAUUGUUGCUGAAAAUGCGCAUUUGCAAUGCUUAAAUUGUUGCUAAAACAUACAUUUGUUUGUUGAGAAAAGAAGGAUAUGAUUAGUUGGAA